UUAGGACGUGCACAGGCUUCUUUUUCUGCUGCAAUCAUCGUGCUCGGAUCGUGUAUUGGGUACGUAUGGUGCGCAGGAGUGAUGAUGAUUGUAGGGAGAUAGUUCAUAGCUACGAUGGUUGGUAGGUUUGUAAGGGAGGUUAUUAGGAGGUCGAGAAUUAUCGUGGAAUCAUUUUUACAAAAUGGUUACAUGGAACUAUAAUGCCUGGUAAUGAAUGGUUCUCGUAGAAUUCUGACUGUCCGCCAUGUUGGAUGUUCUUACGAUGAAAUUACGCGGGAUGGAGUACAGUGCGAUACGAAGUGACCAGAUUCGAGACGAAUGAAAUUAAUCGAACGGAAGUAGAGAGAAUUGCGUUCGACUAAAAGAAACAGAAUUACGGUGCGUUAACUUGUACCAAACUGUGACGAAAUGAACCGAAUCGAAUUAAGUGGAACCAAUAAACUUCGAAUUGAGUUAUGAUCAAAAGAGGUGACGUUUAUUUUCAUCGAAGUGGAUCUAAUGCAAGAUUAUCCCGAACAACAGUACAGAACAUAGUCAUCAAUAUAUAUAUUGUGUGUUCAUACGUGUAAACCGAACCCUAAUAAAGAGAAAACAAAUAUUGGAAUUUCGAAACUCUCUCUGGGACGAACAUUUAACAUGCUUAUCGUAUAUUGAUUCGAUCAGCAAUCGAUGGUUAACGCUGCAUUAAAACAACGAGACCGCGUACGACAUAUACGAGGUGAUUCAAGUUAAAGCCCAACCAGACGCAUUACUCAAAGGAUCGCUGAUGGCGAAGUAGUGCAAUCGUAUCGAAAAAGGUUGACGGGAGAUGAUACGGAUUGGAGUUAUUUGGAGCAGAUCAAAGCGAAUCGAAGCGAAUCAAAGCGGAUCGAAGACGAUUGGAACGGAACGGAGCAAAUGAAAGCGGAUUGACGCGAUUUAAGAACAGGUGAACCGUCUGUUUCAAGGCACAGCAACUGGUAUCAGAGAAACGUCAGAGGGCAACAUAGCGAUCGUGGCAGCAGUGCAAUAUGCAGUAAAGCACGAAUGCAACAAUGCGAUCUCCCCCAAGCAAUGGACGCGGAGGUAACGGGGAGAGAGGGCGUGCCGGAUAUAUAUGGGGUGUCUCGUUAAUCAAGAGAACCUCGCUAUCGCCCGCGGCCUAUAGGGGUGGAAAAUGGGAGAGGAGCGAGGGUGACCAGUGUUUAACAGUUGACAAACGGCAGUGUAGGUACGCGGUCGCGUAAACAACGUGUAGAGCGCGAAACAGGCGCGGGCCACGGCCACGCAAAAACCCGUAAAUCUGCCUAUUAAACGCGAUUAACGAUUUUGGAAAGGCACGAACGCCAUCCUGAUAGCCACGUGGUCAAGCGCACCUGCGGAAACUCUCUUCAUGGUUCUGAUGAUGCAACGGCCGUGUAAAAUAUUGAGUAAAGGGAGGGGGGAGAAGAGGAAGUAGAGCUGGAAUGUUAAAAUGACAGAUGAGUAGAGUGAUGGGUGAUGAAUCAUAAUUGAUGAUAAAUGAUUACGUCUGAAGAAGAGGUAAACGUAUGCAAAAGUAUUGCGGGAAGAACUUGAGCAUCUGGGGGAUUUCUAGGGAAUUUGAAAGUGACUUUGGCUUGUCACAAUCUGCUGUUUUAAAAAUUUGAGAAUAUUAUAGUAUAGAAAAAUACAUUGUAGAAAACGGUGUAUCGUGUAUUGGAUAUAUGGUUAAUUCCAUUAAUCAACCAUAAUUCCAUAUACGAGAAAAAAGUCAAUAGAAUUCUCUUGUUACAGAUAUCCACGUAAUGUGAUACAUAUUUUUCUCCAAUUCUGAAUUCACCCUUCGAAGUCGUCACACGUCAUUUAAAAAAAAACUAGCCACGAAAUGAACUGGAAAAUGACUUUCUACCCCUUGGAGUUAGCCACGUCCAAAGUAAUGGCGGUUGAAAUAUUUAAUAAACCGUCUAAUCGAGGGGGGAGGGGCAUGGGAUGGGGGAAGGGCUAUGGAGUUGUGGUCGUGGAUACGUGACCGACCGCCAACGAGCUCGCGAUUCCAGUAAAAUCGUCCUCCCCGAUUAUCAGUAGUGUAACGAACCGAAAAAAAGGACGCGAAAUCGGGUUUUGUCGCAUUCCACGCGUGCUCGAGCUUGGUCAGUACGCGGGGGCAGCGCGAUUUUUCUCAGGGACUGCGUUUUCAUAGCAUUUCAACCGUGCUUCGCGUUGCACUAACGAACGCGUGUAAAAAGCCAUGCUUCUCUCUGUCUAACCGUAUUAUAUCUGUCCUUCUUGUCUUUGGUCUAAUGAUCUUUCCGUGAAUCCACUUGGCUUCUUUACCAUCUGCAUCGCCUCCGUCGAUUUCCGUAGAAACGCGCACGCGCCACUUAUUCCUUCUAUUUAGCCUCGUCUUAAUCGCUGACGGUUAAUAAGAUCCCUAGAGUAUCGUAUAUGGUAACGAUGCAGGGCUAUCAGUGUCGUUUGAUAGGGAUAUUUGGUAAAUGGGAGAAGAUGAGAAAGUGGAAUGGGUUUGUUGAUCAGCGGAAUGGAAAUGCACGGUAGAAUAUGCUGCGUGGCUAUAUUGGCUACGCUGAUAUGAUUACACUGAUAUGUAAUUCGAAAAGCGUGCUGAGCCACUUUGGAUCAAUGUUUUGGAUUGUUUUUGAAUAUUUGGAUAGUAUAUCACUUAGAGAAUUCUUUUACUUGGAAUAGGGUUGGUUAGUUCGCCGCUUUAAUUUCCCAAUACUUUUGAGCUGCACUUGGACAAUAUCUUACUUUGAUAUUUCUUGUGUCCGAAACGGGAUUGAUCAAUUUGUCACUUUCGAUUUUUUAAUAUUUUGUAUUGCGCUUAGACAAAAU